GAGGAAAAAAACACUGAACACGUCAGGGGGAAGAAGCCUAAUAAUGUAUGAUUGUAAAAAACGUUCCUAGAAAUAACAGAUGCAAUAUUCACAGGAAAUAAUCUGCUUAAAAUUCAUCCAAUUCGCUAGUUUACACAAACUUCCUGCAGUUAUUGCGUCCACUAUUUGUGUUGUUUUGUACUGUUACUGUUAUGCAUUGAAUAUAAUAUGAAAUAUCCAUAAACACUUAGUCAUGGGUCAUCACUUUAGUCAAUGAUAGAAAAGGGAUCCCUUCAGGAAAAAGGUUGGGAACCACUGCCAUAUAGUAUAAAAGUUCUAGCUUAUUUUAAAAUCCAGAAAGCUUCUCAGUUCUGCAACUCAUAGAAAAAAACAUUUGUGCCAAAACAAUUCCUUUAGCAUCGUCAGUUGUUUGUUGCAUAGUUGAAUAAAAAAUCCAGAAAAUUGCAUGAAGCCAGUCCUGACUUAUCUAUGUAGAUUUAUAUAAUAAGAUAGUGUAUAUAUAUCACUCUGUGUUACAGAUUUAGAAGCAUUGUCACAGCACUUGCUGUGAGAUGCAAUGGGCCAAUAAGUGCAAUAUUUUAUGAAUGAAACCCUGUACAUAGUUUCUCCUGUCCUCGAGUACAACGACUAUAACUGCGGUGUGUGAGUGCCAGUUUGGUCAGAAUGAAACUAAAGUAAAAGAGUGAGAGUGUGCUUCAUUCAGUAACUGAAUGUGUGACUUGGUGUGUGUGUGUGUGUGUGUGUGUGUGUGUGUAGCUGCCAUAUUGAACAGACAAAUUACGUACUAUAGUGUAUCGUUUGUGUAUACCUUUUGUACAAAUGUAUCCACGUACUCUAUGCUGUUCCUGCUAACUGUUGGGUGUUGGUUGAUCUUGUAUUAUCAUGUCAAAAUGCAGUGUUAUUGUGAAAGAUAGUCAGGGAGAUAACUUAGUCCAUGCCAUAUGCCAUACUGUUGUAAUUCCAAGAAAAAGGAUACACGUAAACUAGUUCAAAGACCCUGCGCAUAUGUGUGUACACGUGCUUCGUGCGUGUGUGCAUCUGUGUAUGUGUGUGAUAUUAUGAUUUUAUGCUAGUUCCCAUGAAAUAAAUUAUUGUAUUGAUCUCCAGUCAAGAUUCAUUUAAUGGAGGAAUAGUUGCCCAAACAGUCACUCUGGUCAAAUCUCCUUUUAGAGCAGUGUGACUUUACAUAAUAGUUGAAUCUAUUUGUUUCUCAGAGUGCAAGCAAAGUAAGAAGUAUGUUUUUGAGAUUAUAGGAAAUAAAUCUAAUUCUAUCAG